rnacentral:ncRNA from 1 species
UUCCUUUAUCGGAAGAUAUGGGUAAUCUUUUGAAACUUCAUCGUGCUGGGGAUAGAGCAUUGCAACUAUUGCUCUUGAACGAGGAAUCCCUAGUAAGUACAAGUCACUAGCUUGUGCUGAUUACGUCCCUGCCCUUUGUACACACCGCCCGUCGCUACUACCGAUUGAAUGGCUUAGUGAGGCCUUCGGAUUGAAAUUCGGAGACUGGCAACAGACUCUUGGUUUUGAAAAGUUGGACAAACUUGGUCAUUUAGAGGAAGUAAAAGUCGUAACAAGGUUUCCGUAGGUGAACCUGCGGAAGGAUCAUUA